GCUCGGCCGCCGGCGGGCGGGACCUGGUCAGGCCCCCUGCGGCGCUGCGAACCCCGGUACGCAGCGGUCCCCCGAGCCCGCCACCUUCAGACAUACAAACCCCAAGCGCCGAGCCCGCCAAGGUUGCGGGAAAGCAAGCGAGGUGCGGCGGUGGUGCGGGCUCACUUACUCUAUGAAGAAACUGGCGCCCUCCUCCGUGAAGCCCUCCUCCCAGCCGCGCGGCAAGUCUGCGGGAAGGCGAGAAAAGUUGGUCAAACUUGCACAGCCGUGGCGCCCUCCCGCACCCUCUACCGACCGGGCGCUUACCUGAGCGGAUCAUGUGACCGGAGUUGACCGGUUCUCCCGUACGCGGGUGCAGCCAGGUCGUGCAGCGGAGCUGGUCACUACGGGAGAGGUGCACCUGUUAGCGCCGCCGCCCCACACGCCCGCCCGCGGACCCAGCCCCAGCACACGACCCCGCCCGGGUGCCGCCGCCUCUCACGCACUUGAUGAAGAAGACGCGGCCGUCCCGACAGACGCCGUAGGACCAGUGCUCAGUUGGACAAGAGAAGGAGCCUUGAUCUGCCCCCAAAAUACCAGGACCUGGGCACCCGAACAAUUCUACCUCAUCCUUUCAGCAACAUCUCAAUGGAAGAAUGGGAAACACUCCUCACUCUGCAAGUGGGUGGAGCCGGAGCCGGAGCCGGAAGCUAGGUGCUGGGCAAGGGUCAGGCCAGCCUUGCAGAGACACAGCUGCAGGUCUGAGGAGGCUCACUUGAGGGUGCAGCUGUCUGCACUGGGCACUAGAAUUAGAGAUCAGGAGUAGGAUGGACCCUGAAGGGGGCGCAGUGGAGCUCUGUCAGUGUUUCUUGACCUGUGGGUCUCCACCCCUCGGAGUAGCAUCUCAGAUUACGUUUCAUAACAAUAGCAGUGAAAUAAUUUUGUCGUUGAGGGUCACCACAACAUGACCGCUGCUCCAGAGGAACCUAUUAGGGGUGCAGGUGAACCUGUGGGAGGGGUGUGGAGUGCUAGGAAGACCAUGAAGCGAUCCUU
rnacentral:lncRNA from 1 species